GAUGAACGCUGGCGGCGUGCCUAAUACAUGCAAGUAGAACGCUGAAGGAGGAGCUUGCUCUUCUGGAUGAGUUGCGAACGGGUGAGUAACGCGUAGGUAACCUGCCUGGUAGCGGGGGAUAACUAUUGGAAACGAUAGCUAAUACCGCAUGACAACAGUUAUUGCAUGAUAACUGUUUAAAAGUGGCAACUGCUCCACUACCAGAUGGACCUGCGUUGUAUUAGCUAGUUGGUGAGGUAACGGCUCACCAAGGCGACGAUACAUAGCCGACCUGAGAGGGGGAUCGGCCACGCUGGGACUGAGACACGGCCCAGACUCCUACGGGAGGCAGCAGUAGGGAAUCUUCGGCAAUGGACGGAAGUCUGACCGAGCAACGCCGCGUGAGUGAAGAAGGUUUUCGGAUCGUAAAGCUCUGUUGUAAGAGAAGAACGAGUGUGAGAGUGGAAAGUUCACACUGUGACGGUAUCUUACCAGAAAGAGACGGCUAAAUACGUG
rnacentral:rRNA from 1 species